AUUCAAAUAGUUUAAUAAAAAUAUUAAUUUGUGGAGUUAAAGAUAUAAGGAUAUUUUGAAUA
rnacentral:tRNA from 1 species